rnacentral:lncRNA from 1 species
CGCUACAGUUUAUAGGAAGCUCCAAUGCAGGAAUCCCUUGCAUGACCGCCAUCGCAGCAAAAUCAUCCCGAGGGCCUCCCUACACUGACCACUCCCCUACUGCCCUUGCCCCUUUCGGGUAAGGUAGUCAUCCACUAGCUUCCCUAAUUAAUCAGCCAAGGGCGUCCCAUUAAACCCUUGUGGUAGCACUGUUUUCCCGGGUGGUUCUCCAUGUUCCCAUUAACAUAAUGAUCUUAUCAUGAACAGUAAGUAAUAAACAGAUAAUAAAAAGUGUAAUCAUGAGUAAUAAAUAUCUCUAUACCCAAAACCACAUAUAGCAAUAGCAUGUACUACCCAAAAAUCCAGUGUAAACAAGGUAUAAAGAUGGUCAAAUCUAGGGUAACCUAUUGGGUCCCAUCAAAAUUAACCUAUGUAGAUCAUUAUGAUUAAUAAGAACAUGACUGGGUAAAAGAAGUGAUCAAGGGCACAACUUGCCUGGCACUUGAGAUUCCAGGUACCACUUGCUCUCCAUAUGACACGUGUCCUCACUGCUAAACGUAUCAAUACAGACAAACAUGGUAUAGGCAAAAAGUAACAUUACACCAAACAUAAGAAUAAACUGUAUAACAAUAAUCUACGCGUUGCUACGAGAUCGUGGGAACGAGAACCACUAAAAUCGGAGCUACGGUUACCGAGUUAUAAUUUUUCGAAGAUCCACGUGGUUAAAUAUAGAAUGGACUAAGUGCAACAUUUUAACCUAUAUUUCAUGACAAAACAAAGUUACCAGAUGAUAAUAAAUAUUAUUAUGGGACUAAUGCAACUAGAAUGGAUCAAAACGGAGUUAGUCAUUGAGUUACGAAUUUCUGAAGUUAUUUAGCACCUAGAAUCGAUUAAUUCAAAUGAACAAUUUUGAUUCAAGUUUCAUGGCUAAACAGUGUUAUUAGUUGAUAGACAAUAUUAAAACAAAAUUAAUGUCACUGGAAUGGAUCAAUUUUGAGUUAAAAUGAGUUUGAUAUGAAUUAUACAAGUUUCUGAAUUUAUUUCUAAACUAAAAACCAUUUUCUGAAUUGUUUUAUCCCUUUUAUUCAAUGAUUGGACUGGGGCCACUAUUCUGUGAAAGACCAGGGGCUAUUUCUAUAUUUCUCCAAGACUCAUACCCACCACGCGCGUGGAUGGCGAGUUUAUUUUAAAGUUAGCGAGGGGCUCUUUUGCAUAUCUGCUCGGCUGAAGGGGUAUGAGUCAAUCAGGGUCGUCCGAUCAAAAGCCAAGGGCCCAGAUUAGAUUGCGAAUCCUGUGAACCGGUGCGCGCUACUGGCCGCCAGAUCAUGGAUCUACAGUCAGUAUUUAAUGGGACGUGCUCCAAUAUGGGCCAUCCGAUCUGCCCAACGGUUCAGAUCCAAUCACCGAAAGGGGUACUCCUACAUCUAUUCCCAGCCCUUCGUCACUGGAUCAACGGUCAUCGACACGUCGUCCCGAUCCCCAGAUCUGCGGCCCAGAUUUUAUGAAACCCAAUUAACCCACAACCGCCAGAUUCGAAAUCUACGGCCCCCGCUGCCCGGUAUCCAGCCCCCAAUCCACACCGUUGAUUAACCCCAUCAACGGCCACGAUGUUCCCUUCUUCCCUGAGCCAGACCGAGCGGCGGCGCACAUGACUACACCACUACCGAAAGUCACCGGCGAGCGACCGAUCCAACCCUGGGCGCACCAUACCCCAAUCCGGCCACGCAACACAAUGGGGAAACGGACACGAGUCGUUUGGUGGGGUUCUUACCAUUGAGGGUUGCGUAGAGAUCCCCGCCCACGGAGAUGUGCCGUCCUCCGCGGUCAUCGUUGCUCCGGUGAGCAAUUGGCCGCGCCGUGCUUGACGCCCGACCCUGGUUAGCCCGUGUACAUCUUCGUUAGGUCCCAUCGAACCUCACAGAGCAGUCAUCGAGGCUGGGACGUCAUCCUGAGCGCAGUUCGACGGCAGCGACGACAUUGAAAUCUGCCUUCCAAUCUCUCUUGGUUUCACCCUCACUGUUAUCCCCUCACGGUGUGGCAUGUUGUCGCCGAUGGAUGCGCAGGUGCUUGGUGAUGCGGCGUUCAGUUUUAUAGGGGCAAGCAAAGCGGACUCGACGGAAUCCCGCCGUAUACGGCGGAGGUUGAGCCGGGCAGUGCGCAACGACCAACGGAAGGGCUUCCAUCAUUGAGCGAACAUCUCCGUGGCAAUGAGAGCCCACCCAUCAUUGAGCGAACAGAGAGGGUACGGGGGGGUCAAGGCGCGGGUCCCACGGAGGAUUCAGUUGACGGGCAACGCAGGAUCUGUUCGGUGUUUUAUCGCACGCGCGAGCCGACCCCGAGAAGAACUAGCGGAGGUAGCUGCUGACCGAACGGGCCUGCUUGGAAGUGGCUUGCGCGAGUCAAGCAGCGGCUGGCCGCUUGGUCCCACCACCCAGUGAAGCCAAGCGAAGCAUACGUCCAAGUGGGCUGGCGCGGAAAAGGGAAAAAAGGGAGAGUGGGCCGAGAAGGGAUUUCGGUAGUGGGCCGCGCGUGGAAUUCGGCCCAAAGGGCACAGGCUGAGGUCCCCUCUUCUUUUUCUUUUGAUUUUCCACCUUCUAUUUUAAAUUCAAAUAAAUUUCGAGUUUAAAUUCCAAACUUUUGCCUUUAUAUACACAAAUAAAACACCGGUAUGAAUGCAAAACUAUAUUUAUAUAUCUUUAUAUAUAUUUGUUUUAUUUUAGUUCUUUUAUACAUGAUUCUAAUUACGAAAUAGAGAAUAGUUCACAUCUCAUGAUUUUUUUUGGGAAUUAUAAUUUAUAUUGUAGAUUAUAUAUAUAGUUUAAUCAUAAUUCUUAUAAUUUCACUCCAGGACUAAUUUAGUUUAUCUAGGUAUCUUUUUAUUUCAGUCAAAAAUUAAUUUUGGGAGUAGUAACUUUGAAAUUAUGAAUAUUGUCAAGAAAAGGUGGUUUGAUUUAAAACCCCCCACAAAAUUUUCCUUAUUUUCACAGGAUUGAACUUUAGGGUGUUACAAAUCCUACCCCCCUUAAAAAUAAUCUCGUCCUCGAGAUUUGUAAGAAAAAAGGAUUGGUUUGUAAUUCGGCUUUUAGUCUAUAAUUGGUUCAAAAAUCCAGGGUCACAUAUUUUUUUAUAGUCAAUAGUGGGUGAUUUGUAGAGCAUAGGUAUCCAGCCACUUAUUAUGUAGGAUAUAAGAGAUGGAUAGGUUUGGGUAAGAAUAGCCAGGGUAAGAAAGUUUAUGGUGAGGAAGAACUCGGUGCUAGGUGGUAAUGCAUCCGAAGGUUGAGUUUGACUUCUCUCCUUUUUCGACGAGGUUGAUCUUUUCUUCUCUGGUCUUGAGCUCAUUGAUUCGAGGUUAGUGUAUAUUAUCGGAGUUGGGGCAAUGUGGUUAGAAUAGUUUAUGGGUGAGAUAGACUACAUGAUGUAGGUCAAAAUCUGGUUGGUCAGGUGGGGGUUAAUAGAUUAUGCAAUCCAUCAAGACUCUAUUGGUUGGGUCAGACCUCAUGCAUGUGACUAAGUUGGUUUAAGGCACUAGUUUAGUUUUAAGUGCAUGAGGGGUAUGGCCUUAUCUUUUGUACCAGCAUUAAGUAACUUACACUAGAUUAGAUCAUAGUAGAUUAGAUGGGAUAUGACUAGAUUAGGUUAGAUAUGACUAGAUUAGACUAGUUAAGAUCUAAAUAAAUUUUGGAUUAGCUUAUGGUUGUUAUUCUAGAGUGGAAUAAAUAUGCUGAUUAGGGCAAGAUGGAUCCAUAAGGAUAAGGUAGAAUCUUUUGAGGUCAGUUAGAUCUAUUAGGGUGACAUAAGAUCUUUUCAAGAUAAGAUUAGUAUCUUUUAAGAUAAGAUGGAUCUAUGAGUGUAGGAUAGAUUUUUUUUAAGAUGAGAUGGAUUUUGUUAGGCUAGAUACUUUUAUGAGGGAUAAUCUAGUUUGUCUAGUUAUUUUUAUAAGCAUUUUUUUUCUAUAUUUAUAUGCAGAUGUAAUUGUGGACAUUACUCCACAACCCAUCACACUCAAUCAAAGAUCCAAAUCAGACAAAUAUCAUAAGAACAAACAUUCAAGCAUACAAAUAUUUACAAAAAUAGUUUUGAUUUUGUCCCUAAGAUGAGGUCUCCUAUUCCUAAAGUCACUUUAGGCACAGGAUUUCAAAGUGUGAAAUCCACAUUUGUCUUUUAGAAAGAAAAGGUAAGAAUAAUCAGAGUAAAGCGGAAAUAGAUGAGAAUAUAUUAAGAAAAGUUUAGAAAGAAUCAGAGUAGCAAAGGUAAGUAGAUAAGGAUUGUCCAGUUCUAUCUAGGUUUCGUCCUACAGUCAACAUUGCUCUGAUACCACUUCUGUCACACCCGGGUUUCGGGGCACCAAGACCCGGGCACGAACAUAAUCACCAGGUGUGCUGGGACCAAGUCUCACACAUAUGAUGAAUCAUGGCACAUGAUCGAAUGUCACAUCUUUACUAUAUAAUAGGAGUUCUGUACAAAAUAAAUAAAUAAUUUCAUUAUAAGGAGACAACGGUCCAACAACCCAAAGUUGACUGGGAGACGACGACCUAGACCUCUCACGAACACAUCGCAGCAUCCUCCAUGCGCCUCAUCCUGUGGUACCUGUCCUUGACCUGUGGGGGGUGUGAGACAGCAAGAGUGAGCUCACAUACGUUCAUAGCUCAACAAGUUGUGGGGAACAAUGUGCAUGAACUCGCCAAAGGUGGGAGUUCACGUGAAGUGUAAGGCUUACCAAAGAGGAUGGUUGAAGCUGAGCAUUGCUUUUAAAGUUGGUCAAAAUUUUAUUAGCAGUUACUAAGUAUAAGUAAAUACCAACCCAAUUAAGUAGUAGAACAAAAGUAGUAACAACAUCACCUGCGAUGCAAUGCAUAUGACAAAUUGAAUUUAGUUCCAUAAAUUAAUCAUGUGAGUGUCCGAGCUGCUCAUGACCGUGAGCACGGCUAGUAUACCAGUUUUACACUCUGCAGAGGUUGCGCAUCUUUACCCACAAGUCAUGUUACCCAUCUGCCAAGAGACGGCCAAUCCCAUACACCUCUACCGAGGAGGCGAGGCAGGGUAACACUACGAGGCCUUUACAAAGUUCCACUAGCUUCAGAAAACCCGCUACAGUUUAUAGGAAGCUCCAAUGCAGGAAUCCCUUGCAUGACCGCCAUCGCAGCAAAAUCAUCCCGAGGGCCUCCCUACACUGACCACUCCCCUACUGCCCUUGCCCCUUUCGGGUAAGGUAGUCAUCCACUAGCUUCCCUAAUUAAUCAGCCAAGGGCGUCCCAUUAAACCCUUGUGGUAGCAGUGUUUUCCCGGGUGGUUCUCCAUGUUCCCAUUAACAUAAUGAUCUUAUCAUGAACAGUAAGUAAUAAACAGAUAAUAAAAAGUGUAAUCAUGAGUAAUAAAUAUCUCUAUACCCAAAACCACAUAUAGCAAUAGCAUGUACUACCCAAAAAUCCAGUGUAAACAAGGUAUAAAGAUGGUCAAAUCUAGGGUAACCUAUUGGGUCCCAUCAAAAUUAACCUAUGCAGAUCAUUAUGAUUAAUAAGAACAUGACUGGGUAAAAGAAGUGAUCAAGGGCACAACUUGCCU